AUCCCACAGCAACCAGUGUCUAUCCAUUGUGUCUUGCACAAAAUGUCACCAGCUCUUCCCUUACCCUUAUGCUAAUCCCUAAGUGUUUAAAGCCCCCAAAAUCUCUGGAACAAGCUGCCCAGAUCAAGAAGAGAUACUACUGGCAUCCGGGCAGCUUUUCAAGUGCCAGAGCAAUCAGCUCUGGCUUGUUUCACUCUCUCUUCUCUUCCAACUCAAUUCAUAAAUUGGGUUGGAAGAGGAGAGACAUUCCUUCCUCCCAGGCAAUCAGCACUGCUAAAGACAUCAGGGGCUGAUUGGUAGUGAAUCUGAGACUGUCCUGACCCUUCAAUUUGCAAAACAUUUAUCCUAUGGUCACAUCUGGCCACUUAGGGAGUAAGCUAAACCAUUUCCCUUGCAGAUGGGAUUGGGCAGGAGGGACUUAUGAAUAUCCCAAUCAGCUCUCCACAGAUAUCCCUACAACUUGUUGAUACUGGAGCUAGAGCUGAUAUAGCUUACGCAAAGGGAAGGCUGCUUCUGAAAACAUUAACAGAGCAAUGUGGAGGGAGCAUGAGGAUUUCAACUAAAACAAACGAAAGGAUUUAUUACGUUUAUCUGAGCCACAUAAAUUGGGAGAAUUGAACAGUCUCUUAAAAGAGUUUAAGGAUGCUAGAAGUGCUCAGAUAUCCUUGGGCUGUUAUCAAGAUAAGCAGACACAGAAGGCAGGAGUUAAUGUGUUGCAUACCCAUUUUCCUAAUACACGAGAGAUCAGCAAGAAGAGAGGAUCUCCAAAGGACAGAUUCUAAAUUUGUAUGGACUGAUGAUGUAAGAGAAUAAGAGAAUAAAUAAAAGCAGUUAUGCCCUGUGUGCCGUCAAGUAAUCAGUUUAUAUUGACAUGAUACAAAAACACAUGAAAUUACAUUCAUGUCAGCUAGAGUUUGGGUUCUACGUGUGUCAGUGAAUAGCAGAGACUGCCACUCUAGGGCUUACAGCACAGUAGUCGUGGCUUAGGGCCUCGUGUUUUCACGUGCAGACUCUGCUUGGUGUCUGCACCCUCAAACCAGUGCACUGUUAAGAUGUCAAAGCAGCAAAGUCUUCCUUCUCCCUCUAUGAUUUUUUUUUGCUCUGCUGCCUCUUCUGUUUGGCCACCUAAGAUGCAAUCGCACUCCAAGAACUGAGUCACACUGAACAAUGGGGCUGUAGCUGAUGCUUUGGCAUUCUCAAGGACCUCUACAGCUUGCUUAAGGCCUUGAGACUGAAUUGACAAAAGAGGCAGUCAAAUGCUUUGGUUCUCUGUUCUAGCUGAAAGUACAACACUUUGCUGCAGUGGUGAAAUCUCUGCUGGAUUCAGUGAGCUGAAUCUCACCUGGAGUUCUCCAGGUCUAAGGGUGGUCUGCUUGGCUUUUGUAGGGAAAGAUGAAACACACAAACUCUUCCCCUCCUGAGAUACAAAAACUGAUUUUAUCAGAGAUGUAGGAGCAAUUUAUGAUUUAUUUUUCCCCUGAAUUCAGCUUGGUUCUGCAGAAGCUUUUCCUCCUUGCCUCUCCCCCAAAGGCUGGAGUUCAAAGCUGACAGCUGUUUUAGCCUUGCAGCCUCGCCCACAGCAAAUAUAGUUCAAGUUCAAAACAUAGUUGCUCCUCUUGAGCCUGACAGAAUGGCGGGACUCCCA
ensembl:lncRNA